rnacentral:rRNA from 1 species
GACGUAGGGCGCGAGCGUUGUCCGGAUUUAUUGGGCGUAAAGAGCUCGUAGGCGGUUUGUCGCGUCUGCCGUGAAAGUCCGGGGCUCAACUCCGGAUCUGCGGUGGGUACGGGCAGACUAGAGUGAUGUAGGGGAGACUGGAAUUCCUGGUGUAGCGGUGAAAUGCGCAGAUAUCAGGAGGAACACCGAUGGCGAAGGCAGGUCUCUGGGUAUUAACUGACGCUGAGGAGCGAAAGCAUGGGGAGCGAACAGG